GGAAACAAGAGAACCCAAGGAAGGGCUGGACUCCUGCUGCAGACAGGGAGCAGAGCACCGCACCUUGAAAUACGGAGAAAAACCUGAAAACGCUGAGAGGUGGAGUGACAACUUGCAUUCAGCUGUUUCAGAAACAUUGUUGACCACCUACUCAAUGUGAAGAUGACGAAGAUGAAAGCCUUUAUGAUGAUCUACUUCCACUUAAUAAAUGGAAACCAGCUGCCAUGCAUGAGGAUACUCCAGCAGCUUAUGGAGAAGUCCAUGUGGUGAGGAACUGGGGUCGGUCCACAACCACCUGAGUGAACCUGAAAGUGGAUCUUCCCCUCACUCAAGCAUUGAGUUGACUGCUGGCCCAACCAACAGUUUGUCUGCAACUUCAUGGGAGAUCCUGACUCAGAAGCACUCAAUUAACUCAUGAAAACGACUCCAGUAUGAAUGGUGAAUGUAAUUUAAUGUGUCAUGGAAAUGCAGAGCUGUAGAACUGAUUAUUAUGCCCAGUAUAAAUGGAAGAGCUCUAAUCUACGAGUGGAGGUGAAGCAUCCCCAGUGGCCAGGAGGACAACCUUGCCCAGUGACCUUUCCUAGAAGAAG
ensembl:lncRNA novel transcript